CUUUGUUCUCGGGGGUUUAAUUUGAGAAACGAAAUGGAAAGUGUUGGUGGAUCUGGUAGUCAACCUCCUGUACAAAAUGUGGAACAUGAUAUGGAAGCAGGAGCUGCAAAGAAAGAUACAUCUCAGCAGCCAUUGCCUCCAUCUGUUCCUAAAAAAAGAAAAGAAGUUGAAACUAGAUCUCCUGUAUGGGAUCACUUUGAGAAAA